rnacentral:rRNA from 1 species
UACGUAGGGUGCGAGCGUUGUCCGGAAUUACUGGGCGUAAAGAGCUCGUAGGUGGUUUGUCGCGUUGUUCGUGAAAACUCACAGCUCAACUGUGGGCGUGCGGGCGAUACGGGCAGACUGGAGUACUGCAGGGGAGACUGGAAUUCCCGGUGUAGCGGUGAAAUGCGCAGAUAUCGGGAGGAACACCGGUGGCGAAGGCGGUUCGCUGGGCCUGUACUGACGCUGAGGAGCAAAAGCGUGGGGAGCGAACAGG